CAAGGUUUCACCGGCGUUUGACACCUCCUGCUUGAUCCAGGAGCAGCCCAACCUCCUCUACACGAGCUUCACUCUCUCACUCUGCUCACACUCAGCCUACAGCUCGCUCUCACCCUCUCCCUCGUGUUCUUGCGAGCUCAGACUAAGAAUUCUCAAAUCGGAGCUCAUUUCGCAUGGAAAUCGACGAGAAAAUUCAGGAAUCAACACUAGAAAACCCCAGAGCUCAGAAAUGACACAGCUCGAGAUAGCGCAAAGAGGAUCGUUGGAUGGACACAGUAGCGCCAGGAGUGUGAGGAGGAAGACCGAGAAGAUUUAGGUUGAAGUUACACAUAUUCCUGUUUCAAAAAGAAUGAUGUUACACGAGAUCCCGAAGUGUAAGGACGAGGAGCUGGAGAGUAAAGGUGCCGAGUAGGAGAAGCUUAAGAUGGAGGUGAAGAAGCUGCUGAAGAUGAAUGAGUACAAGUCUAACAUGGCUUUCCCAAUGAGGUUUUCUGAGUUUUUGGUGGUGAUUCCUGAAGAAGAAUCGAUUUCGGAACUAAGUUUCUCCUUUUUGCACUAACGUAAGUUUUUCAGCUAAGCUGCAAAUUAAUCGUUGUUAUUGUGUUGGAAGUCCCAGUUUUUCUCUUCACUUUAUGGUUUUGCUCGGCAACCAAGCAGGGUUUUAGUUUCAUUUCUUUUCCUUUAGCCCCUGACUUUGUUACUUGAAACUCCGGACGUGUUUCGUUCAUACGAGUUAGUUAAUUUAGAUGGGGAUUCACGACU